UACGUAGGUGGCAAGCGUUGUCCGGAAUCAUUGGGCGUAAAGAGCGCGUAGGUGGCUUGUCAGGUCUGAUGUGAAAUCCUGGGGCUCAACUCCAGAACUGCAUCGGAAACCGGCUUGCUAGAGUCUGGGAGAGGAGAGUGGAAUUCCUGGUGUAGCGGUGAAAUGCGUAGAUAUCAGGAGGAACACCGGUAGCGAAGGCGGCUCUCUGGAACAGUACUGACGCUGAGGCGCGAAAGCUAGGGGAGCGAACAGG
rnacentral:rRNA from 1 species